GCCAGGGUGGUAUAGUGGUUAGAACUAGGACCUGGGAAAGACAAGGGUUCAAAUCCCCCCUCAACCA